GAUCAUGGCUCAGGAUGAACGCUAGCUACAGGCUUAACACAUGCAAGUCGAGGGGCAUCAGUUUGGUCUGCUUGCAAACCAAAGCUGGCGACCGGCGCACGGGUGAGUAACACGUAUCCAACCUGCCUCAUACUCGGGGAUAGCCUUUCGAAAGAAAGAUUAAUAUCCGAUAGCAUAUAUUUCCCGCAUGGGUUUUAUAUUAAAGAUUUAUCGGUGUACGAUGGGGAUGCGUUCCA
rnacentral:rRNA from 1 species